ACGAGAACACGUAUGCCGAAGUAUAUAAAUCAUCAGUACAAAG
rnacentral:misc_RNA from 1 species